rnacentral:rRNA from 1 species
UACGUAGGGAGCAAGCGUUGUCCGGAAUCAUUGGGCGUAAAGCGCGCGUAGGCGGCCCUGUAAGUCCGUUGUGAAAGUCAAAGGCUCAACCUUUGAAAGCCGAUGGAUACUGCAGGGCUAGAGUCCGGGAGAGGUGAGUGGAACUGCGAGUGUAGAGGUGAAAUUCGUAGAUAUUCGCAAGAACACCAGUGGCGAAGGCGGCUCACUGGCCCGGUACUGACGCUGAGGUGCGAAAGCGUGGGGAGCAAACAGG